GCGCUCUAAAAAUGUCUUUCCUAUUCUUUCGAUACAAAUUUUUGACUAAAUUGACUAAUAAAAUCAUAAUCUUUGCAAUCUAAAGCAAGUCUAUUCUAAAAAAACGUUGAUUUCAGCAAGUAUGAUUAAGAACUACUUUUGUAAAAACAUACGCGACGAAACACAAUAUCUAUGUGAAGUAAACAGUUAAUUUUGUUCAUACGCGAGAAAGCCUGUAUUUGACAGAGAAAUAAAACAAUUUUGCUGCGAGUGGAGAUUGGUAAUCAAACAUGGUGGUCAACUGGUGUCGGGCACGUCAAAUUUACAACAAAUGUGGGAUAAAACUAUUCAAGAAAACACUUUUAAGCAAUAAAAGUUGCAACUAUGGCAAGGAUAGUGAUUUAGGGGUCCGAUUAACUGAAGUCUACCGCAUUCCAUCGCAGACUUUUGCUACAUGCACCCCUCAAAGACUGAAAUUUGACUCUUGUUUUGGAAGGCCGUUAGAGGGCGCCGACACUGGUGAAAAAGCCAGGGAAAAGUCAAAACUGAAGAAAAGAGUGAAAGAAGCCAAGACAUUGCUAAAUGUUGAAAAAAUAUUGAAACAGGGUGAAAAUCAGGCUGAUUUAAAGAAAAAUGUCCCGUCUACUUACAAUAUUGACACAAAACCUGGACAGAAGAAAGAUACUUCUAUCCCUCUCCCUAAGGCAUAUAAUCCAGAAUUUGUUGAAGCAUCAUGGUACAGCUGGUGGGAGGGAAGUGGAUUUUUUACUCCUGAAUACUCAAUCAAGGAAAAUGAAAAGAAGAAAUAUUUUGUGAUGUGUCUGCCACCACCAAAUGUGACUGGCUCGUUACAUCUCGGUCAUGCAAUUACUAAUUCCAUCCAAGACGCUAUCAUCAGAUGGCGGCGUAUGCGCGGUGAUGUCACGUUAUGGAAUCCCGGCUGUGAUCAUGCUGGCAUCGCCACCCAAGUCGUUGUGGAGAAGAAGUUAUGGAAAGAACAACAGAGGACGAGAUACGAUGUUGGGAGGGAGCGAUUUGUCGAUGAAAUUUGGAAGUGGAAAAAUGAGAAAGGUGAUCAGAUCUAUGAGCAGAUGCGACAAAUGGGAUCGUCACUAGACUGGACGAGGGCGCGUUUCACAAUGGACCCCAAACUCUCACGGGCGGUUACUGAAGCUUUUGUUCACCUCCAUGAUGAAGGGCUCAUCUAUCGUGGCAAUCGGUUGGUCAACUGGUCAUGUCAGUUAAAAUCUGUGAUCUCAGAUAUUGAGGUUGAUGAGAAGGAAAUUCUUGGAAGGACGAUGUUACAAGUUCCUGGUCACAAGAAAAAGGUGGAGUUCGGAACUCUCAAAUCAUUUGCAUAUAAGGUUGUUGGCUCAGGCGAGGAGAUUGUAGUUGCCACAACACGCCUUGAGACGAUGCUCGGUGACACGGCUGUGGCCGUCCAUCCUGAUGAUCACCGCUACUCCAAUCUUCAUGGCAAAAUGCUGACGCAUCCGUUCUGUGAUCGGCAAAUCCCUGUAAUCUGUGAUGAAUUUGUGGACCGGGAAUUUGGCACAGGUGCUGUGAAAAUCACUCCAGGACACAGCCACACAGACUUUGAGGUCGGAACUAGACAUCAACUCCCCCUAUUGUCCAUUAUGGAUGACAAUGGGCGUAUCAAUGACGUCUUUCCAAAGUUUGAAGGCUUGGACAGAUUUGAAUGCCGGCGGAAAAUCGAAGAAACGUUGAAGCAACUGGACUUAUUCCGAGGGACGGCGGACCAUAAAAUGACAGUGCCAAUUUGCAGUCGCAGUGGGGACGUGAUCGAACCGCGCCUCAAGGAACAAUGGUACAUUAACUGCCAAGAGAUGGCAGCACAGGCCGUGGACGUCGUGAGGAAUGGAGAUUUGGAGAUUUUGCCGGGAAAUCAUGAGAAUAUUUGGUAUAAUUGGAUGGAGAAGAGUCGGGAUUGGUGCAUUUCACGACAACUUUGGUGGGGUCAUCGUAUUCCUGCGUACAAGGUUGUGUCCCUUCAAGAUGAUCAGAAUCGCGCCGAUGUUUGGGUGAGUGGUCGAAGUGAGGAAGAAGCCAGGAAGAGAGCCUGUGAGAAACUCUGUGUAGGUCCUGAACAGUUCAGGCUCGUACAAGAUGAGGAUGUUUUAGAUACCUGGUUCUCUUCAGCACUCUUCCCAUUCUCCAUAUUUGGAUGGCCAGAGAAAACUAAAGAGUUGGACUCAUUCUACCCAACGUCAAUACUGGAGACUGGUAGCGACAUCUUAUUUUUCUGGGUGGCUCGGAUGGUCAUGCUUGGCCAGAAGCUCACUGGACAACUGCCAUUCAAAAAGGUGCUACUCCACGGCCUCUUACGGGACUCGCAUGGUAGAAAGAUGAGCAAGUCCCUGGGGAAUGUGAUAGACCCCCUGGAUGUCAUCAGAGGCAUAUCACUCCAGGAUCUUCAAAAACAGCUCGGUUCAAGCAACUUGGAUCAAAGAGAAAUUGAGAAAGCAAAGUUGGGGCAGAAGAGUGACUUCCCGUUGGGGAUACCCCAGUGUGGAACCGACGCGCUCAGGUUUGCGCUGUGUUCAUAUAACUUCAAAGCCCAGUUUAUCAACAUGAACAUCACCCAUGUCAAAAGCUACCGAAACUUCUGUAACAAGAUCUGGCAGGCAUUUCGAUUUUAUCUCAUCAACACAGUGGAGUUCCAACCUUCAAGUAAAUUUGAGGUCUCCUCCGCUACCCGUGCGACUGACCAGUGGAUCCUGAGCCGUUUGUCUCAUCUGAUUGAAAUGUGUGGCGUCCACUUCCAGUCUUAUGACCUGCACCUGGUCACGAAAGCCUUGUAUCAAUUCUGGUAUCAGGAGCUAUGCGAUGUCUAUCUUGAAUGCAUCAAACCGGUUCUCAAAAGUGGCAACGUAUCCGACAAACAGUCCGUUUUGGAAACUCUGCACGUGUGUAUAGAUGUCGCCCUCCGUGCCAUGAGUCCAUUCAUGCCAUAUCUGACGGAGGAGCUCUAUCAGCGAUUGAGAGGUGGGAUAGAGGUCGCCAGUGUCUGUUUAGCAAAGUAUCCCGAUAGUUCUGAGAUUUGUUACCGAAACACUGCCGUUGAAGAUGAGAUGGAGGUUUUAUCUAAAAUCGUAACUGCUGCAUUAUCUGUGAGGAGUCUGUUCAAUCUAAAGUCUAAACCUAAUGUGUAUCUUGUCUGUGAUAACAAAGUCCGGGAUGUUGUUGAAACCUUUCGAGAAGAGCUGAACACUUUGUCACGAUCACAAUCGGUGACAGUGACCAGUAGUCCGCCCCAAGGUUGUGUCAAGGUGGACAUCUUGGAAGGAAGCCAGCUCUAUAUGGAAGUCAAGGGAUUGAUUGAUCCACUGCAGCAGUUUCACCUGGCAGAGGCCAAGGAAACCAAACUCAUGGCCGAACUUGACAAUUUGACAGAAAAAAUUAACACAACGACUAAGGAACACUUAGAGAUUGUAUACAGAGAAAAGCGACACGAGGUCCAGAAGAGUUUGGAUAAGAUCCUGGAACUGAAAGAGAUGCUUCGAUAUCUGAUGUGAUUCAGGAUUGUUGAGGCUCCCGAUGUGUUCUACCAUUUCAAAGGGAUUCCAUUACUAGUACAGACUGCUUAUUAUUCACAAUGUGAUCUUAUUUCUGUUCCUGAAAAGUUGUUUUCAGUGUAUUUUCUCCUUGAAAUCGAUCACUUCAGGUACUAUUACUGUGCAUACCUAGCUAAAUUAGUGUCUAGUUUCGUCUCUGAUGACAUUUAUUUCGUAAAAAUCGCUGUUUUUUUCUAAAAAGGUGUUUUUGUGGUCAUUUUGGCUGUUUAUUUCGAGGGUACGGUAGGAGGUCAUCGUUCACUCGAUAACUCUUUUUAAAAUGAAAUAAAAGCGUUUUAAGAUACAUGAUAUGAAUUGAUAUUAAUAUUCGUUAAGUGGGAUUGUCGGUGGACGUUCAUUGUUGAACAGUUGUGCUGGAAUUACGAAAAUAUAUCGAUAUCGUUGAGAGUUCAUUCAUUAGGGGCCUGUUCUCAAUUUUCCUUACAACGCCUCUAGCACUGGGCAAUUGCCACCAUCUUGAAAAGCAGUGCCGCGGAUGGCUAUCGCAUCGCCACUACGCAUGAGAACACGAUGGCUGCCCUGCGCUGCAUUGAUAGUUCGUAAUAAAUUCACAUAAAAACACACCAGAAGAUCUCCGAUUUUAUUUACAAAGAUCAUAUUUUGUUAUUUAUUGAUAAAACAAGCCAUUUUACCACAGCAGGUGACACAUUAGGCCUGAAUAAGACUUUAGAAUUUGAAGUGGUGGUGACGAUGCCGAUAUCCAAGAUGGCGGAAUUAUACCAGUGGUCAAAUCUCAUCUAUUUUGGGUAAUUGCAUCAUUAUUUCUUUUUGUGAUUGGUGAUUUGUAAAAUUGAGAAUGAUUGAAAAAUCAGUAUUUUUUCACCCAAAGGCAUGAGUGAACAUUUGAUAAGUUUAUUGUGAUUUAAUUGGUAAUUUGGUCGACAUUUUGACAAUUAUAUUUAGCAAUAUUUCGAUAAAUGCGGACCUGCUUCUUCCUCUUUUCGUAGUGACGGUGUUUCGAUAACUCAGUUAGACUUCGAGAUCUACAUUUUCGACAAAGGCCUGGUGUAAAUUACGUACUUAAUGAAGGUUUAAUGACACGAAUGAGUACAAGUACAUUACAUUUUUCGACGAAGGCCUUCUGUAAUUUCAUACGCUUCUUACGCAACAUUCAAUAGAUUUAUUUACUGUAUUAUCAUUUCGACCAAGGCGAAUUCGACACUUCAAUUACACAAGCACAAUCAAACUUAGUCAUUCCAGUCAGUUACUGAAGCACAGCGAAAACUGUCUGAAUUAGUGCUGCUGAUGGCAUGUAAUUACUCUACUACCACUACCAGUGACAGUCAAUGUCCAUAUAUUUUCAAGUGUGCGAAAUUAGUACUCGUCUACUUCUUAGUGUUAUUUGAAUGCAAUGUAUGUUAUAAAAAUAUUUUUUCAACACUAUAUCAACAUUCUCAUUCCUGUCAGUUUCUGAAAAUCAGCUAAAGCAAUCGCUACCAAUGCAGCUGAUAACAGCAAUUCUUUUUGUUCCCAAUGCCCAUCCAUGACAAUAUAUUUCACGCAUGUGACAAGCAUGUGACAAUCAUGUAAUCGUCCUGUUUUUUGUGUUCUUUUCAUGCAAUAAAUAAAUUCAGUAUUUUCAAAUCAUUGGUGCUACAAAACUAUUCUCAUUAUAGAUUAUUCAUAUUUUAUAAAAUGCUGUCAUGUCAAAUUUUGUGUCCUAUAAAUCAUUAUGAAGUCGGCAUUUUAUAUACAACUUUUGUACUCCUCCUAAAUAAACAUACAAAUCUUGUUUUAUGUAAACUUUGUAUAUGUGACCCGUCACAGCAAAACCAGGCGCAUGUCGCUCUGAGCUUGGCAGGUUGAGACGGACUGUUUGUUCAUUUAUCUAUUGUCUGCCUUUUGUAAAAUAUGAGCACAUCAAUUUCUUCCAUUAUCUCCUGGUGUCAUUUAGGCUCAUCUUCUGUGCGACAUGUACCUGGUUUUGCUGUGACGGGUCACAUAUUCUAUAGAUAUACAACACUCUAAUGUCACAAUGCCUCUCUCACUCGCUUUUAUAUAGCAAGAUGUAUGAAUAAACAUGACACACCAACUAUGUACAAAAUUGCUAACAAACUGCACCAUUUGUCAGUACACCACAUGAAAUACAGAGAUAUGUCUUAAUUCUAAUCUUUCAUUAGCGACACCAUUUCUUACCAGAGUGCCUCCUUCAUUCAUACAUCUUGUACUUUAACUCAAGAUACCCAUCUUUGAAUAUUUUUAGUAUACCAAGUACUACAAUGUCAAUGUAUUGAAGUCAUGUUCUUGUAGUGUUAUUGGCUUUCUAUUAUCUUGUCAAAAUACCACUUGGUUCUCGCAAAAUCUCAAUAAAAACAAAUGCUAUUGCAUGUAUUGCAUAUUCUAACAGCUAUCCACUGUAUCGAUUUAUCCAUCAUCUGUACUAUUUGUCACAAAAAUGUUAUAUUAUGUAAAUCAUAUUUCAUUACAUAAUGCACACUGCCAAUUACUGCUGAACCAUUCAUAUGUCAUUUAAAUAAAUAAUUUUCAACUUUUUAAAACCGUCUUAUAGUACUGUUC